rnacentral:rRNA from 1 species
UGAGGAACAUGACCUUCGGCGGGGGAUAGCCGGCCCAACGGCCGGGUAAUACCGCGUACGACCACAUGGGGACAUCCCCGAGUGGUGAAAGCAGCAAUGCGCCGAUGGAGUGCCUCGCGGCCUAUCAGCUAGUUGGUGAGGUAACGGCUCACCAAGGCGACGACGGGUAGCUGGUCUGAGAGGAUGGCCAGCCACAUUGGGACUGAGGCACGGCCCAGACUCCUAGGAG